rnacentral:miRNA from 3 species
UCUGGGCAACAAAGUGAGACCU